GAGACUAUUAAACCUGUGCUUGACCUUACAAACUCUAUCAUACAGCGGGUGGAAUGAAUAACAUGUCUUUUGCAUCGCCCAUGGGAUCACCAUGCGCCCUAGGGCUGUUCUGUUGUUGCUCUUCGUGCUUCUGCCUAUGCUGCCCGC
rfam:Hepatitis E virus clone pSHEV-3, complete genome.